UGGCCAGAACGGGACUCGAACCCGCGCCUCCGAAGAGACCAGCGCCUUAAGCUGGCGCCUUAACCACUCGGCCAUCUGACC